UACAGAGGUCUCAAGCGUUGUUCGGAUUCAUUGGGCGUAAAGGGUGCGUAGGCGGCGCGGUAAGUCGGGUGUGAAAUCUCGGAGCUUAACUCCGAAACUGCAUUCGAUACUGCCGUGCUUGAGGACUGGAGAGGAGACUGGAAUUUACGGUGUAGCGGUGAAAUGCGUAGAUAUCAGGAAGAACACCAACGGCGAAGGCAGCUCGCUGGGACGGUACUGACGCUGAGACGCGAAAGCGUGGGGAGCGAACAGG
rnacentral:rRNA from 1 species